rnacentral:pre_miRNA from 1 species
ACAACAUUUGGGACCGUCGGUCUACCGAGCAAUAUCACCCGCUCGGUGGAAGAUCUUCCUUUCGUCGU